rnacentral:lncRNA from 1 species
GAAACAGAGCGCAAGAUUCAGCAAGGAAUGUAGUAUUAGAAAAACAAUGAACUCUCAAAAGAAGAAAGAAGGCAAAAGAAAAACAAUGUAAAGUACCUUGGCAACCGUUUUCGUUUGAAAGGUAAGGAUUCCCAUCAAACCCUUUCUUACAUUUGCAGAUAUAUCCGGUUCCACGAACAGAAUCGGAACAAACGCUAUUCCCACGGCAUAUGCUUGCGUUUCCAGCUUGCUCGCAUGACUCUUUACCAAUAGACCAAUCCAAAACCACAGGGAACCUCGUGAUAUUCCGCAGAUUCAUAAGAUCUUCUGUAGAACUGAAGUUAAACACACCGUCUUCGACUAGAAAGGCGUAGCUGCAAGGGUUGAAGCUAUGCACAGAGGUAUGGUUGGAAAAGCUAUAUGGGCUGACUCUGAAGUAAUUGCUCCCUCUAGGUACAGAAGUCUGGCAGCAACCUCCACCAGAACAUGAUCCGUUUGUCUCUCUGGGAGAAUUACAUGUUGACAUGCAUCCAGUUGAGUAAUUCCCAACGCCGUUUGUGUUGAGAAACGCGUAAGUGUUACAUCCUACUGCAGUAAACCUGUUCUUGUCGGAGAAUGUUAAAUUUCCCAGCCUCGACCACCGGUUUUGGCGGCUGAUCUGAUUCCCUUGAAUGUUGUAGCAAACGUAGGAUCUGGUAUUCAAGACGCGUAGCUCGCCACUGAGAGAGAUGUUGAUCACUUCAUUGCCGCCAAAGAUCAGCUUGUUUGUUUCGUUACAGGUGAUUUUGAAGCUGUUAUCUCCGGGAUAGUAACAACCUGGAGAGAUUCCAAAAGGGUACUCGACUGUGAUGUUGCCGCAUCUAUCUGUGCAACCAGGCAAUGAUUUCCCUUUGAUCAGCUGACUAUAUGCAAGUGAGAACAUUGCCACAAAGAACAGACCCUGCACCUUGUUCAUCUUCUCUCUCUCUUCUUUCUUGGGUUUUCUCUCAUGUCCUUGAGGUGUGUUUUCUUAUAUGAGAUAAACCUCAAGUCAGUCUUACGAUGUUUCUCUUUUUACUUGUUUCCGCAGACACUUUUCCAAUCCAGCUACACAAACAGGACCAUGUCAAUAUAUGUAAUGCAAGGAGGAAGUUCUAGUACGCUCAAUAUCCCAACAAGUUCACGUUUGACAGUGAAUUUUUGUUUUGUUUUUUGAAUUCAAAGAUUACGACGGUUGGUAGUUGCAAGGAAUUUUCAAAAUGUGAAUAAAUGUUAAAUAUUC